CAGCAGACACAUUCCAGCCAAUCAGCAGGAGACCCUCCCUCCCAGACCCUCUCACCUCCUGGAUCCAUUUUGAAGCUGCAUUCUUAGUGAGCUGUCCAGGAGGUGGGAGGGCCUGGGAGGGAGGGUCUGCUGCUGAUUGGCUGGAAUGUGUCUGCUG